CUACUGUGAACCAGCAACUUAUCACAACUGUGUCGACAAUUUCAUUAAUGCAGAAAGUUUGGGUAUCCAUGCAAAGCUAAGCUCAGACUGUAAAUUUCACAUGUUGCUCAUGGACUGAUGGCAUUUCACUAACUGGUAUUUAGUCUCCGUAAAGAGUCAUCACAUGAAUGGACUGAGAUGUUUUCUUGGAUCCCUCAACUUCGAUCUACUGUAAAUGCAAGGCCAAACGAUUAGCUGAUCAUAUUUACCCUUGCUUGCUAGUUUCAACUUUUCAAGGAUUUUUUUUUUUUUUUUUACUGAAGGUCCAGUUGGUCCGUGGGAUACACUUGCAUCGAAUACGACGCAGCUCUAAUCUGUUGGGAAAGUGGUUUUUCUUUUCUUUUGCUUGUUGUUCCCUGCCAACAACGAUUGGCCAUCCAUGAGUUAGUCAUGUAAAUAUUACAGUUGCUAUGGCUGAA